AUUGAACGCUGGCGGCAGGCCUAACACAUGCAAGUCGAGCGGAUGAAGGGAGCUUGCUCCUGGAUUCAGCGGCGGACGGGUGAGUAAUGCCUAGGAAUCUGCCUGGUAGUGGGGGAUAACGUCCGGAAACGGGCGCUAAUACUGCAUACGUCCUGAGGGAGAAAGUGGGGGAACUUCGGACCUCACGCUAUCAGAUGAGCCUAGGUCGGAUUAGCUAGUUGGUGGGGUAAAGGCCUACCAAGGCGACGAUCCGUAACUGGUCUGAGAGGAUGAUCAGUCACACUGGAACUUGAACACGGUCCAGACUCCUACGGGAGGCACCAGUGGGGAAUAUUGGACAAUGGUCGACAGCCUGCUCCAGCCAUGCCGCGUGUGUGAAGAAGGUCUUCGGAUUGUAAAGCACUUUAAGUUGGGAGGAAGGGCAGUAAGUUAAUACCUUGCUGUUUUGACGUUACCAACAGAAUAAGCACCGGCUAACUUCGUG
rnacentral:rRNA from 1 species